rnacentral:RNase_P_RNA from 1 species
AAGGUGGAACGGUCUGCCGCGGCAGAAAUGCUGAGGAAAGUCCGGACAGAACAGGGCGCCUUGCUGCGGAAAGCGCAGAUGGGGGUAACCUCAUGUCCGCCGUAACAGAAAAUAACCGCCUGCGAAGGCAAGGGUGAAAACGUGAGGCAAGAGCUCACGACGCAGUGCAGCGAUGCCCUGCGGGUACGGCACCAGGGUCUGCAAGACCAAGUAUACCGGCAGUUGAGGGCGGCCCGCCUGAUGCCGGGGGGUAGGUUGCGAAGAUAAAUGGCAGAACAAACAGAAACCGGCUUACGGUUCCACCUUUUUU